UUUCCGUAGGUGAACCUGCGGAAGGAUCAUUAUUGUAUAACCGAGGUGCGAGGGCUGUCGCUGACCCGAAAGGUCGUGCACGCCCGAGUGCCCUCACACGCAUCCAUCUCACCCCUAUGUGCACCACCGCGUGGGUCCCCCUUUGGCUUGUUCGGAGGGGGGCUUACGUUUUCACACAAACUUUGUAUGCAGUGUAGAAUGUAUUUUUUGUUUUUGCGAUCACGCAAUCAAUACAACUUUCAACAACGGAUCUCUUGGCUCUC
rnacentral:misc_RNA from 1 species